GGAAGACAUUGCAGAGAGAGGAAGAGGAAGAGGAAGAGGAAGAGGGAGGUUGAGAAUAAGAGGGGGAGGAAGAGUGACAGGUAGGGGAAGAGCAGGUAGAGGAGCUCAUGGCCAAAGAAGACAAACACUUUCAAAUUAAAUCAGAGCAACCUUAGUAGAUCAUGUCAUCAACCAUGGGCUGACAAUGCGUGAGGCUGGACAGAGAGUGCAGCCAAACUUGAGCCGUUUUACUGUUGCCUCUGUCAUCCGGACCUUUAGACUGGAGAACAGGACUGAGAGACGACACCAUGGUGGAGGAAGGGGCCAAAUGUUCACCGGGGUACAGGAAGCUGCCAUUGUAAACUUGGUUUUGGAAAAUAAUGAAAUCAGAUUAUGAGAAAUUCAAACACAUCAUCCAAGACAACACCUUAUUCAACAACAUUCAACAAGUCAGUCUGUCCACAUUGGCUCGCAUUCUCAAGGAAAACAAAUCAGAAUGAAACAACUUUAUAAGGUCCCGUUUGAGAGAAACUCACAAAGAAACAAAGAGUUCAGACGAGCAUAUGUGGAUGUAAGUACUAUAUUGACUGCAGUACACUACACGCAACAUUGUAAAGCAUACUAAAGAUGGGGGUGCUUUUCAUUUUGCCCAACAGUGUGUAGUUGGUUAGGCAAAAAUCUGGUAAUAUGAAUAAAGUGUGUGCCAUUUCAUGCAAAAGUUUGAUUACUAUGUGUAGUUUCGGUUGCAGUGCUUCAUUUUGCAGGAUAUAUGAGGUAUUUUGCAGUUUGGGUGUGUGGUUUUGUGAAUUGUGUGAAGUAUUUUGAUAAAACCAGACUAGUUUGAAAAAUUGUGUGUAAGCAAUUGGAAAAAACUGUAAAAUCUGUAAAUUAUGUCCAUAGUACUGCCUUAUUUGUAUAUUUAUUUUACAUUUAUAACAUAUUGUAGACACUGUAUAUUCUGUACUUACUGCUUAUUGCACUUCUGGUUAGAUGCUAACUGCAUUUUGUUGCCUUGUACCUUACAUGAGCAAUGGCAAUCAAGUUGAAUCUAAUCUAAUCUUCUUCUCCCUUUUUCUGAUCCAACUAUUCCUCUCCUUCCUCCAACUAUUCCUCUUCCUCUCCCAAGCAUUAUUUUUUUCUCUCUCUCUGAUUCUUUGUGUUGCUCUGAAUCCACAAAAACAAUUCAAAGAGGUAUUUUUUUUUUUUACUCUGUUGAUGUAAUGGAAAGACCAUCAAACACCUGACUAUUCCUCCAACUGAGACUGGAAUCAGCUAUUACUAAAUAUUUUAGUGAUCUGUUACUUAAAAAUGCUUAUCAGUUGUUACAAUAUUUUAUAUAUUUUAUUUUUCAAUACUUUUGAGUUGCUGUUGUUGCAGAAGUAGAGGCUUUACACUAUAUUUAAAGUUUGGAACAUUAGGUCUUCAUUUCUGUCAUGCAGUGUUUAAGCAUUUGUAAAAAAAGAUAAGAAGGAUCUAUGAUUUUGGUAUGGGGUAAGCGUAUGUGAAAAGAAUUUUUAAGCAUUUUAGAAACUUAUUAAUUUACUGAAUAUUGUGUGAAAACAACAUGAAUUGUGUUAAAGAUAUGGUCACAACAGACUGAUGUUGUGCUGAAUGUGUAGUGUUUUGAAAACGUGACUACAGAUUGGACAAAAGGAUGUUAGCAAUUGAAAAAAAAUCUGUAAAGCUCUAAAGCCUAACUUACUCAUUUCAAAUGUUAAAAAUGCCUUAAGAGAAUUUUUUUUUUAUGUACAU
ensembl:lncRNA